rnacentral:rRNA from 1 species
CUACGUGCCAGCAGCCGCGGUAAUACGUAGGGUGCGAGCGUUAAUCGGAAUUACUGGGCGUAAAGCGAGCGCAGACGGUUACUUAAGCAGGAUGUGAAAUCCCCGGGCUUAACCUGGGAACUGCAUCUGAUACUGGGUGACUAGAGUAGGUGAGAGGGAAGUAGAAUUCCAGGUGUAGCGGUGAAAUGCGUAGAGAUCUGGAGGAAUACCGAUGGCGAAGGCAGCUUCCUGGCAUCAUACUGACACUGAGGUUCGAAAGCGUGGGUAGCAAACAGGAUUAGAUACCCUGGUAGUCCACGCCGUAAACGAUGUCUACCAGUCGUUGGGUCUCUUGAAGACUUAGUGACGCAGUUAACGCGAUAAGUAGACCGCCUGGGGAGUACGGCCGCAAGGUUAAAACUCAAAUGAAUUGACGGGGGCCCGCACAAGCGGUGGAGCAUGUGGUUUAAUUCGAUGCAACGCGAAGAACCUUACC